CGGGGCCGGGCGGAGGCCUGUACCGCGGGCUGCUGACCUCUCCCCACAGCCCGGCGAGAAACAGCCUCUGGAUCUGGGGAAGCUAGUGAGCUCGGUGGCGGCCCAGAGACUGGUUUUGGACACUCUUCCAGGUGUGAAGAUCUCCAAAGCCCGUGACAAAUCUCCCUGCCGCAGCCAGGUGAGCGAAAGGCGAGUGGCCUCUUCCACCCUCUGCUUCUCCUCUCCCGAUUUUGGCUCUGACCCCGUAUUCUCGCAGGGCUGCCCACCUAGAACUCAGGACAAGGCCACCCAUCCCCCUCCAGCGUCCCCCAGUUCUCUGGUGAAGGUGCCCAGUAGUGCCACUGGAAAGCGGCAGACCUGUGACAUCGAAGGCCUGGUGGAGCUGCUGAACCGGGUGCAGAGCAGCGGGGCCCACGACCAGAGGGGCCUUCUGAGGAAAGAGGACCUGGUACUUCCAGAAUUUCUGCAGCUGCCCGCCCAAGGGUCCAGCUCCCAGGAGACCCCACCACAGACCGAAUCAGCAGCCCAGCCCAUCGGGGGAUCCUUGAACUCCACCACCGACUCAGCCCUCUGACAGCUACCCAACAGUCCAGGACAGCUGCAUGGCACCCGGCGGGCCGAGCAUGCCAUGGGUCCGCUCUGCAUGCCCUGUCUGUGCCAUGAGU
rnacentral:sRNA from 1 species